AAUGUGUAUUCAAGUUCAUUCAGCAUUUGUCGUGUUUAACUUUGGAGCUCCAUUGAAAUUUAACUUAAUGAAAUUGAAAGAUGGCAUGUUUCUUCCACUGGGCGCUUCAGGACUUGGGCGGUUGGGAAGGUGAACUUGAUUACUGUUACCAUCUUCUUGAAGAUAAGAUUUUAAUAAUUCGCCCGGGAAUCAGAGAUAUUUCGUAGCGACAAGAUUUCCUCUCUUUGGAGGCCUUCAGAUAAUGAGCAUAAGGUUGUCGGUGACAGGAUUCAAGCUCUUAUUUUUGCAACUUUAACCACUACGAUGAAGCAUUUAUUGGAUUGUAACGGGGUCUUACAUGGAGGUGGUAAUGAACGAUUUAAACUCCAACGACUCAGUUGAUGUUGGUCUGAUUGCUGCAUUAGUGUUUCAAUUUCA